CGGCGGACGGGUGAGUAAUGCCUAGGAAUCUGCCUGGUAGUGGGGGACAACGUUUCGAAAGGAACGCUAAUACCGCAUACGUCCUACGGGAGAAAGCAGGGGACCUUCGGGCCUUGCGCUAUCAGAUGAGCCUAGGUCGGAUUAGCUAGUUGGUGAAGUAAUGGCUCACCAAGGCGACGAUCCGUAACUGGUCUGAGAGGAUGAUCAGUCACACUGGAACUGAGACACGGUCCAGACUCCUACGGGAGGCAGCAGCG
rnacentral:rRNA from 1 species